rnacentral:rRNA from 1 species
AUGCCCCCUUGGGAGCGUUUUCGCGAGCUAUGCCUCCUUCGCUUUGGGCCGCCGAUCUGCGGGAGCCGACUGGCGGAGCUCGGCCGCCUUCCCUUCACCUCCACGGUGCAGGACUUCGCCGACCGUUUCCAGGCCCUGGCAUGCCACGCGCCGGGUGUGAUGGCGCAGCAGCGAGCCGAGCUCUUCCUCGGCAGUCUUUCGGAUCACAUCCGCGUGGACGUGGAGCUGCGGGGACCCCAGGACCUCCAGACGGUCAUGUACUACGCUCGCGCCUUCGAACGUCGCGCGCAUGCCUUGCAGUAG